rnacentral:rRNA from 1 species
CACUCCUACGGGAGGCAGCAGUGGGGAAUUUUACGCAAUAGGGGAAACCCUGACGUAGCGACACCGCGUGAGCGAAGAAGCCCUUUGGGGUGUAAAGCUCUGUCAGCUGGAACGAAAACAAUGACGGUACCAGCAGAGGAAGCAUCGGCUAACUACGUGCCAGCAGCCGCGGUAAGACGUAGGAUGCGAGCGUUGUCCGGAUUUAUUGGGCGUAAAGAGUUCGUAGGUGGUUUGUUAAGUUUGGUGUUAAAGAUCGGGGCUCAACCCUGGGACUGCACUGAAUACUGGCAGACUCGAGUGUGGUAGAGGCUAGUGGAAUUCCCAGUGGAGCGGUGAAAUGCGUAGAUAUUGGGAAGAACACCGGUGGCGUAGGCGACUAGCUGGGCCAUAACUGACGCUGAGGAACGAAAGCCAGGGGAGCGAAUGGGAUUAGAUACCCCAGUAGUCCC